UGUCUCUCUCUGUGUCCUGCCAGUGGUUUUACCCUAUGGUAGGUUACAUCAUGCUGUUCUACCACAGGGUAGAACCACGGACAGGAUACUGGAGCACC
rnacentral:pre_miRNA from 14 species